AUGCGCCGCUGCCGCAGCCACCUGAUAUUGUUCCCAGGCCGCCGCCUGGGCGCCUAGGGGCUGGGUGCUAGAAUAACAGUGACAUUCCUGGCCCGGACAAACGCUGACGACGAAGAAGCCAGAGAGCCGGUACCUGUGCCGGGGGAGAUGUUUUUCAGCUUGGACGUUUGCCUCGACUCUUUCAUCCAGGGAAAUAUCUGUUUGGUGAGGGUGGAGUUGGAGCCGGGACCGCACUUGGGGGGGCCACUUUUGCUGGGGCCGCCCCCGUUACUGCUGUUGCUAGUGGUACUGGUUCCUUUCAUCCAGAGUCUAGCCUGGAGAAAAAACUGAGUAUCUCUGAAAGAGGCAGGAGGGAGAAGCAAGUUGAGCAGGGAACCUUCUGGUGUGAGGGAUACUCUCUUUCCCCUCCCACCUCACGAAGACUGCAGCCUGACCUAGAAACUUCCUGAAGAUUUUUAACCUCCAGAGCCAGUGGAACUGAGCCUCCUCCAUGGCCUUGCUGCAGUCUGUUUCCUUUGAUUUUUCUAAAGAAGAAAAGAAGAAAGAAAUUGGAUAACUGCUGGACUUUUCUACUGAGAGAUGGGAAAGUGCUUUCUAAAACAGAAAAUUUUUCCCUAGGAAAAAAAGUAAACAAAGCAAUUUGAACAAUAUUAUUCUCUGGGUUGGAAACUGGGUGCCCCUGUUUACUGAAGUUCUCUGAGGCCAAAAAAAAAAAAGAUUAUUUUAAUGCAGGCUUUUAAAAAUGUGCUGGA